GGGGCUGUAGCUCAGUUUUGGCAGAGCGCUUGAAUGGCAUUCAAGAGGUCAGGGGUUCGAAUCCCCUCAGCUCCACCA
rnacentral:tRNA from 1 species